UAAAGAGCAUGGAUGGCACAUUUCAUUUUAAAAUGAAGUCAUAUAUAAAUAUAUAAUUCUCCAUACACACCAGAAGAUAGCAUAAGACAUAUCAAUUUUAAAAAAUUAAGUCAAAUUGAGGGUUCAGUAAUUAUUGUGCUUAAAAAUAGGUUAAUAUAUAAGAGAACAUACUGCUAUUAAAUCCCUAGUGUGCCUGCCAUGGCCUUGCACUAUACCGUGAAUGAAGAGCAGCAGCAGCUAUCACUAGGAACUCUGAGGAGGAGCGCAGACCAGCAGCAGCACCAGCACGGUAGCGCCUCAUCUACUACUUUGCAUUGCAGCUCUGCGUCACGGCGGGCGGCGAUACCGAGAGGCGGUGGGCCGCAUGGCCAUGUGCUCAUUUCAUGGUGCCGCGCGGUUGCAACUGGGGCUAGUAGGCGGCGACGUGAUUGGUCGGUAGACGAUGGGACGGGUGACGACGCCUGAGAAAGAGAAGUUAGGGCGUCGGCCAUGAUUGCUUGUUUUAUUUGCUAGGCUGCGCUGUGUUGGCCGACGG
rnacentral:lncRNA from 1 species